rnacentral:rRNA from 1 species
CUACGGGCGGCAGCAGUGGGGAAUAUUGCACAACGGGCGCAAGCCUGAUGCAGCCAUGCCGCGUGUAUGAAGAAGGCCUUCGGGUUGUAAAGUACUUUCAGCGGGGAGGAAGGGAGUAAAGUUAAUACCUUUGCUCAUUGACGUUACCCGCAGAAGAAGCACCGGCUAACUCCGUGCCAGCAGCCGCGGUAAUACGGAGGGUGCAAGCGUUAAUCGGAAUUACUGGGCGUAAAGCGCACGCAGGCGGUUUGUUAAGUCAGAUGUGAAAUCCCCGGGCUCAACCUGGGAACUGCAUCUGAUACUGGCAAGCUAGAGUCUCGUAGAGGGGGGUAGAAUUCCAGGUGUAGCGGUGAAAUGCGUAGAGAUCUGGAGGAAUACCGGUGGCGAAGGCGGCCCCCUGGACGAAGACUGACGCUCAGGUGCGAAAGCGUGGGGAGCAAACAGGAUUAGAUACCCCCGUAGUC